rnacentral:lncRNA from 1 species
GUGUGGAAUGCAAGGGUCACCCCCAGUGCUGACCAGACUUCCCGUGUUAGCGAGGCAGUGAAGGAGGUCCCUUGGUCACUUUCAAUUACUUCUGGGACCCCAUAGCGGCAAACAAUUUCUGUCAAGAGAUACUUGGCUGUAGUCCUCGCGGUGAGAUUAGUCACUGGGAAGGCCUCUGGCCAUCCUGAAAACAUGUCCACUAUGACCAAUGCAUAUUCAUAACGUCCACUCUUUGGCAUCUGAAUGUGAUCAAUCUGGAUCCUCUGGAAGGGAUAUUGCGGCUUGGCUAGGUGAUUAGGUGCAGUCUUUAUAAUCUUUCCAGGAUUGCAUUUAGCACAUAUAGUACAUGACUUACAGUAAUUCUGUGUUAAGGUGGUGAUGCCUGGUGCUUCGAAAUAUUUGUCAAUCAGUGAAUUCAUCAGGAGUUUUGACAGGUGAGCUGGCCCAUGGGCCCAUUGG